rnacentral:tRNA from 1 species
UCCCUGGUGGCUGAGACAGUAAAGAAUCCACCUGCAAUGCAGGAGACCCAGGUUUGAUUCCUGGUUUGGGAA